rnacentral:rRNA from 1 species
CAGUAGCCGCGGUAAUACAGAGGGUGCAAGCGUUAAUCGGAAUUACUGGGCGUAAAGCGCGCGUAGGUGGUUUGUUAAGUUGGAUGUGAAAUCCCCGGGCUCAACCUGGGAACUGCAUCCCAAACUGGCAAGCUAGAGUAUGGUAGAGGGUGGUGGAAUUUCCUGUGUAGCGGUGAAAUGCGUAGAUAUAGGAAGGAACACCAGUGGCGAAGGCGACCACCUGGACUGAUACUGACACUGAGGUGCGAAAGCGUGGGGAGCAAACAGGAUUAGAUACCCCAGUAGUCCCUGUCUCUUAUAC